AAGAUGGAGAACAAGAAUAAGUGAGAGGAGAACUGAAGCAAUGAAAGCCUUGGACGAUGAGAUGGCCAUGGCUAGCUUAAAUGCUAGAAACUAUUGAAAGUAGGGCUUUGAUCGGAGUAACUGAUACCUGGCUAUUUGAAAACCUAAAUUCUUCUUUUUAUUUUUGGUGCAAAAAUGAGAGCAAAGAUGUGGGUAUUUAUAGCGUAAAUAUCAGAUGGAAAGACAGGAGAGCUUGCAAUAAAUUAUAAGAGAUAAGAAGGCCAGGACUGGGAAGGUGCAUGCGUGUUAAUUAAGGAGAUUCUCAUGGUUUAAUUUUGUACGCUUACUAAGCUUUUUCCAAAAAAUGGAAAAAAGUCAUGGGCCUAUGGACAUAUAUGAUAUAAUCACUCGUCAUGAUUAUCUGGCGAAGAAAUGCCAUUUGGAAUCGUUCGGAGAUAAGCUAGCAUGUUUUAUUGCAUGGCAACUUUGCUUUUUCAUUUAUCUCUUGGCUUAAUUUUAAUUGAAGUGUACAGUACAAGAGAUAGGGAAAACAUUUUCCAUGAAACCUUAACACAGUCUCAUCGUUAACAUGGAUAACUCGGGCUUUAGUUGGACUACUUUGACUGUUUGACUCGAUUUCUUAAUUAGCUGUUUAAUUAAUUUACGAUAAAUUAUAUGUUGUCAGAGUCAGCCAAUAUCCUCCCACAUUUUCAUCAAUCUUCAUAGUAUUUAUCACAUUAAAUCAUCCAAGGAGAACUUGAAUACUUAAUUAGUAGUAAUCACCCAGCCGAUAAGUUUAAAAUGAAAAGAGAAUGGCAAUAAUUGAAGAGUUCGUAUUUAAUGUACUUUAAUUAUAGUCGCUGUGCCCAACUUCACAUCGCCUUUUCUGCAUUAUUUAGUACAUAUAUUAAAAUCCAUUUUCUUUUUUAUUUCUCGCACAACAAUAUAUUCCUUCUGCUACUUACCUAACCCAUCCAACUGGAGUCCAUACGACCAAACAAAUUAUUUAUGAAUUUAAUCAAAUCCAAACACGGGAAAUAAUUAGAGCUGGCUCCGCUACUUAUUACUCACAAAUUAAAAUUGGAAUAAUGCCUACCUAGUUCAUUAUCAUUUAUUAGUGCAGGCCUUUCUAGGGUUUUAGGUUUGUUGAGGGAUUCCGCGGUUUGCCAGCCAAGACUCAUAAUUAUUUGUAUAUCCUUAUGAUAAAGAAUAAUGAUAUGCUUAACAAAAUUUGUAUCUCAAAUAAUGUGUAUCACGUGGUAAUAGAUAAUUUCUUAUAUCAUAAGUUUGAUACUCAUUAAUUGAGGGAUGUUCACUCUAUUUCUCCACUCAAUUAUUUUAUAAUUGAAGAAGGACUUCAACUAACCCUCAUAAUACUUUUAUGAAAACUCAAAACUUUACUCUUACACAUUGUGAGUGCAAAAACUCUUACACUAGACCAAAGACCAAUUGAUAUAGUUAUUGAUGAACUUAAAACAUUAAAAUUACACAAUUGUUAUAACGUUUAAAAUGUGCAAUUAAUCUUAUUAAUUAUAUAGUUUAUAUUUGUAAGAAUUAUUACAGAUCAGUAAUUUCCUUUCUUAUAGUACAAGCUAAUAUUAGCGUUAUUACUAAUUAGUGACACACCAGGAAAACAAAAGCAGAUUGAUAGGAUAAAUGAACACCACAUAUCGUUCUAGGAAAGCUUAAGUGAACUUAAUUAGGUUACAUUCUAAUCAAAACAUUAUUAGAUUUCAUUCUAAUAUAAACAACUCAAUGAGAUUUUGAUAAUGCUUUGCAGCAAGAUUAGACGAUGUUAUAAUCCAAAUGACUCGAUAUGAGAGAUUUUGAUAGAUAAUUCCAAAAGAAAUUAUAAAAGAGGAGCUUUUAUUAAUCAAAAAUUUAUUCUAAAACAAUGACAAUACCUUUUUAUUUAUAAUAAAGUAAACAUACUUUUCUAAGUUAACUUAAAUAAGAAAACUAUAUCACAAUAAUAUUGAAAAUAAAAAACCUAAAACAAAUAUCAUAAUUGCCUCAAAUUAAAAGGAAAAAUAAAAAAGGACCUAAAAUAAUAAACUCUAGAAUCUUCUAGAUACGUUCUAUAUCAUUCUCCCCCUUUUAAAACAAACCCGUCCUCAAGUUCCUCCGGAUGAUAAACUUGAAGUGAAGCAUCAAUGCAUCCUAGAUCUUGAACUUGUAGCUUGUUUCAUCAAUUUUCCUUGAAGCUUGAAAAUCUUCAUGCUUUAUUUUCUUCUUUAUCUCGUUAGUUACUCUAAAAAUAGGUGAAAUUUUAUGAGAACGAAUCAUUUCUAUACCUCUCAAGUCUUUUGCUUAACUCACUCAAUGUACUCAAUUAUUAUCUUUUAUCUAGAAGGGCAAAUUCUCUUCUAAGAGUAAACUUCUUGUCUUCAAUGUGAGAGGCAUAAUCAUUUCAAUUAUUGUUGGGGUCUCUUCAACUUGACUUUACUGCACAAAUUCGAUUAUAUUAUUAAACUCAAUGUUUAAAUUAAUAAUAGAUUAUACAUCUUCUUUAAAAAUCUUAAAUCGAUCAAUAAUCUUAUCGCGAUCGUUAUCUUUUACUUUUAUUAAUUUUAAAAGAGAUGGUUCGACAUCAUUAUAGUAAAAAAAAAAAAAACCUAUCUUCCAUCAAUUGCCUUAUAUCAAACUAUUCAUUUAUUUAUUUUAUCUUUGUUUAAUCCUUAAUUCUUGUAGUUGCUUCUACUAAUCUAAAGUAUCACCUAUCAAUUUAAAUGAUACAUGGGAGAUAGUAACUUUCGACAAGACAUUUUCAAGAAAAUCUUCCAUCAUCCAAAUUCAGUAAAACAUAUCACCAUGUUAUGAUCAAAAUCUGGGACAUCUUUUGAUUCAAGGAGACAAUGCAACACUUAAUAUUCUGUCUUUAUCAUUCUUUUUCAAAUUAAAAAUAAAAUCAAUAACAAAACUAUAAAUAUCCUUAACUCUUAGCUAUAGGUAUUGCCAGCGCGUCUGGUGGCCAUGAUUUAGAGUCAUGAGGGUUAGAUCUAGUAGAUAUGAUGGCAAGGAAUGCAACAAUGGCUACAGAUUGAUCAGAAUCGCAGUGGUUUGGUCAGAAAAGGAACUUGUGUUGGUGACGACUUAUGUUAGUUUGGCAGCGGUUCUCGAUUGAAUUUGGACGAUGGCACUUAGGAUCUGUUUAGUGGCUUGAGGGGAGGUGGACAAUGGUGACGACUGACAGAAACCUGUGGAGGUUUUACGGCAAUGAACCGGUAGAUCGCUUGCAGGUUUGGGUGAUUUGCUGCGGUUCUAGUGGCAGCUACUGACUCAAUUGUGUGAAGUGAGGUGAUGGUAGCGGUGACAAUGGUGGUAGGUGUGGGAUUUGUUGUGUUUUUUAAUUUUUUUUUUUUAUUUAUAUAAAUGGCGAUGGAGGAUCGUGGUGGAUGGAUAUGAUAGUCCAAAAAGUCGUGAUGCCACAGUUUUGCUUGAUACAAAAAAUGAUGUAGUGGGGUAGUUAAGAAAUGAAUUGAAAGGAUAAAUGAAAACUAGAUAGGGCGACCAAAAGCGAAUACGAUUUGGUUACAUUUUAAUUGAAGUCUGAUUAGAUCUUGUUAUAACUUAGAUAACUUAAGGAGAUUCAGGUAAGGUUUUAUAGCAAAAUUAGAUGAUGUUUUAAUUUAAAUGAUUUUAUGAGAGAGAUUUUGAUAAAUAAUUCUAAAAAAAUUAUAAUGAAGAACUUUUAUUAAUCAAAAUAUUAUCUUAAAAUAAUAACAAUACCUCCCUAUUGAUAGUUGGGUAAACUUACUUCUCCAAAUUAACUCAAAUAAGAAAAUUAAAUCACAAUAAUAUUGAAAAUAAAAAACUUAAACUAAUUAUGACUCAAAUUAAAAAAGAAAAUAACAAAAAGACCAAAAAAAAAAAAACUCCAGAAUCUCAAUUAAUAUGAAACAAAGUUAUGAAAGAGUACCAACAAAGUGUUGGCUCCACUGGCAAUGGAGUCCCCUUAAGUGGCUUGACUGAGUUUGCUCCCCAGUUCGAGUCGCAGGGAAGUCGCCUUUGUUGGGAGAACCUGUGCUUAUCGGUUCGAGUGGGGACUUCUAGUCUGGGUUGUGGUACGGGCUUAAAGGUGUCUCCCACAGUUGGGGCCCUCCCCAAGAUACCUCGUUGUCGAAACUAAAAAAAAAAAAAAAGUUAUGAAAGAGUCGUCUCUAUGUAAAAUACAUGCACAAUCUGAAUUCUUUUGCACCAUUUUACUUUGCGUAGAUAAUUUUAUAUAGCACUCAAUUACCAUAAAGACUUUGGUAUUUUCUUCUGAUAAUCAUGAUCGUCAAAACAAAGCAACAAUAGCUUUUAGAUCAUCUCUUAUGCUCAAUGAGUAUAGUUUUCACCGCACGAGACGAUGACUCUUUGAUUUUAGAACCACAACAUUUGCUUGAUUCUCCAAAUAGCAUAGAUUUAUCUUUACUUGUCUGUUGCUAUAAAUCUUUAUCUUUACAGUGUAUGUACAAUGUACGUGCAAUAAAAUAUGUUCUGUAUAAUUAAUUAUAACCAUUUAGUGUGAGUUCAUAAUAUCUUUCAACUCCGAAUACCUUAGAUUUUUCUUGAAAAAGAAAAAAGAAAAAAGAAAGAAAAAUAAUGUUUUAUUACAAAUUAAUUUUAAAUAUUGACACUGGGCUAGUGUACUUGUGCCGAGGAGAGGGCAUCCGUUCAAGUUUCAGUAGUGUAUGUUACAGUAAUAGAACAUAAUGAUAAUAUGAUAAAAGAUAUUUAAAUUGUGUUCUAAUAAAAAUAAUUUAUAGGUUAGUUUUAAACAUUUAGUAGAUUUUUAAUCGUAUUAUUGGUAUUUAAAAAAGAAAGUCAAUGCCACUUCGGCCUUGGUCGGAGUGGUGGGCUGCUGUCCUCACAAGCACAAAAGUAUUUGUGGGGGCUAACGUGCUUAUUUGUUUAAUAUUUUAAAAAUUUCCUCUCCCUCGUACAAUACGAGUGGAGUAUGGACAUUCCUCUUCUGUAAGGAAUUAUUUGUCUGGGCAUGUACUUCACAGAAUUCAAUGUAAUAAUAUAAGUCCUAAUCAUGUAUUUCUGAUUGUAAAUAUCAAUGUAAUAUAUCUAGUAUAAUAGCAGUUGUAAAUAUCUGUGUAAUACAGUAAUAUGAUGAUUAAUCAGUAUUAAAAAAAAAAGUCAAUUAAAUAUCUUCCAAUUAUUAAGUACGAUUUUUUAUUUUUUUUUUGUUUUAUUGGAGGAAUAAUGAGAGUACGAUCGAAGACAGGCAGCGGAAAUUGCCAACUUAUUUAGGUCACAGAGAUACUAAGCCACACGUGCCCUAAGGGGAAGUGAUUGGUUUUGAAGCUCAAAAGCUUUUGGAGACAGAGUUGGACUUGACGGAAAUGAUAAAACUCAUUACGAAGUAGACUUAGACCCACACAGGCCUCACAGCUGUGCAAAAGUGAACCACAGCUGUACUCUGCUCAUGCAGUUAAAUCAAUGCAAGAUAUUUAGGAUAAGCACAAGAGGCGGAACAGACAUCUAAAUAAUUAAUCUCAAUCAACUUUUAAUAUAGUUAAGACCUUAAUUAAUAUAUAUUGAGGUGGUAUAAUUUUUGAAUUACAAUUGUUAUAGAAAAAAUUAUAAUUAUAAAAUAAAAAUUAAUAUUAUAUAGUAAAUAAAAUUUUUAAAUAAUAAUUUUGAUAAAAUUAAUAAAAAUAUAAUAAAUUUUUUAUCAUAUAAAUAUAAAAUUAAAUUAAUUUAGUUUUUAAAUUAUAACCGUUAGUGUUUACAAAGCGUUUUAAUAUUGUCCAAUUUCAAUCCCAAACGAGAUCUAAGAUUAUAAAUAUUUGUUAAACACUAUAAUAUUGUGUGUUAUAAAAUUGGAAUAAGAAUGGGCUGAAAUUGUAAUGGAGAAUGAGAAUCAGAAUAAGUUAUUUACUUAAACUGUAGGAAUUGGAAUCCGAAUAAGUUGAAUUACCAUUAAUGUGUUUAUUUUAUCUUAGAAUUGAAAUCAAAAUAAAUUAAAUUGUUACAAAUUAUUAAAAAGUCCUCAAUAAUAAUGACAAUAAUAUUCUAAAAUUAAUAUUUAGGUAAUUUAAGAAUAAUAAUAAAAUUCACAAGUCCCUUAGAAAUCAAACUAUCAUUUUCCAUUCUCUAAUUUGAGUAGGGUCCACAAUUUUAAUUUUAAUUAUUUCUUUUAUUUUAUAAAAUAAACGCUGUCUGAUUUAUUAAUUUGUGAAAUAAAAAUUGCCUAAAAUUAUAUGGCUCAACUAGACACCGAUUCGAAAAUGUAGACCUUAAACCUUUGAAGCAGUUUUUAAGUAGAUGUGAAAAUCAAAUGAAAUUUUUGCUUCAGUUUGGUUUCAUCGUUUACCAUCUUAUCUCCACAAAAAGUCUACUUAUAGUUAUGCAACAACGUAAUGUUUCCGAGACAUCUUUUUUAAUAUUUACCAAGGCGGCCAAUUAAAAAUUGACGUGGGAAUUAGAAGUGUUACCAGUCCCAAAAAAUCCUCAUCAAACCCAUUUAUUUAAAAAUUAAAAUACCCUACUAGUAAUUCACAAAAUAAUAUAUUAUUUCUUAACUCACAUAUUUUGAUUAAAAAAAAAAAAAAAAAAAACUCCGUCUACACCCAUACUUAAGUCUCAACUCAUCCCUCUUCCCACUUUCUCUCUUUUCUUUUUCUCAGUUUCAUUUUUUUUGUUCAUACGAAUAAUUUGUUCACCACAAAUAAUCAACCUCUCACAUUCUCGAUUUAACAUCCCAUAUGUUUUCCUCGUUCACUUGCUCUUGAAAAGACAAGAAAAAACAAAUUAGCAUUGUAAAUAUCUACGAAUUGCACUAAUCCUGUAUUUUCAUACGGAGAUUAAUUAAUGAUAAUAUUAUAUUUGUUAGAGAACUAGUUUUCUUCUUUUCUUCGUCUUCUUUAUGUUUCCUCCCUUUUCCUGCCGCCAACACCCACAGAAAAGUUUGUGACAGCAUAUGAACAUUCAAACAUGACCAAAAAUAGAAUAAAAUCCAAUAUUAAACCUAUGAAGAAAAAUGGAAGGAAAAAACUGUAAUUAUCAAAUUUUAAGCAUGAUAAUAUGAUGCGUUGAGAUUUCAUCUUACUUAAGAAGAGAUGAAGAAGAAACUUUAAUAAGAAUUGAGAAACCUUACUAAGUAUUCCACUUAAUUUAUCCUGAUGAAGGAAGAGACAAAAAGUUAGGAAUGGAUAAUGAAUUAUUGAUUUGAUUUUAUUUGUUUUUGUUUCAAAAUUAUACGAAUGAUCGAUGCUGUAUUGAUACAAGCGCGAACUGAUGGCCAUCCUCAAAGAGAGAGACAAUCGGUCAAAACUUAAGAUUUUUAAUAAAGUGAUUUCUCUGAAUCUUCUGUUUUCAUUGUCGUUUUAUGCAAAUUUUGAAGAGGGACAAAUUAACUGAAACUAAAUCAAAGGGAUUUUACGAGCGGUGACGAUAGCAGUACAGCAAACCACUCGGCAUUGUUGUUAGAAGAUAACAAACACGACACAAAGUAGACAAUUUUAAAAAGGAGAAGAAGCCUCUUAUUAUUAUUCUCUGGAAACUUAUGUAUCCACAAUAAGUAACAUGAAAUGGGUUUAUUUAUUUAUUCAUGGGAAUAUGGAUCAACUCUGUUUUUCUGGCCACAGGCAACACACGCACACGCACAUAUUUAUACAUGGAGAGAGAGAGAGAGAGAGAGAAUAGAAGUUCCAAAAAACUUAAUUAAGAAGUAGACGACGUCGUUUCAACUUAAAAUAUUUCAAGGGCACUUGUGUCUGCCGUGGUGGGUGGUCAUAUUGGCGUAGCAAGGGCAGACCUCAGUGUUGCCUGCAGUGCCUGGAGGAACACAAUUGCAGCGGGCGCAGCAGGUACCACAUGCCCUGUGGCACAGGUUUGGCCUCGACGAUAAUCGGCACCUGGCCUGGCAUGCACCUCCACAGUCUGAUUGAUUAGAAAAAAAAUAAAUAAAUAAAAUCAGAUUAAUCAGCUGUACAUGAACAUUAAUUUAAUCGAAGCAAACAGAAACAGAAGUAUUAAUUUG
rnacentral:lncRNA from 1 species